GAAUAUCCAUAUGUUUUAUCUCUUUCAAAUCCAUUUCGGUUCAAUCAACAUGACACUGAUUCUUGCUCAAGUGAAAAACCAUCUAAUGAAUAUCCAUAUGUUUUAUCUAUGCCAAAUCCAUUUGGGUUCAAUCAACAUGACACUGAUUCUUGCUCAAGUGAAAAACCAUCUAAUGAAUAUCCAUAUGUUUUAUCUCUGCCAAAUUCAUUUGGGUUCAAUCAACAUGACACUGAU